rnacentral:rRNA from 1 species
GACGAACGCUGGCGGCGUGCCUAAUACAUGCAAGUCGAGCGAAGUUUUUCUGGUGCUUGCACUAGAAAAACUUAGCGGCGAACGGGUGAGUAACACGUAAAGAACCUGCCUCAUAGACUGGGACAACUAUUGGAAACGAUAGCUAAUACCGGAUAACAAUAUUUUUCGCAUGAAAGAUACUUAAAAGUUGGUUAUGCUAACACUAUGAGAUGGCUUUGCGGUGCAUUAGCUAGUUGGUGGGGUAAAGGCCCACCAAGGCGACGAUGCAUAGCCGACCUGAGAGGGUGAUCGGCCACACUGGGACUGAGACACGGCCCAGACUCCUACGGGAGGCAGCAGUAGGGAAUCUUCCGCAAUGGGCGAAAGCCUGACGGAGCAACGCCGCGUGAGUGAAGAAGGAUUUCGGUUCGUAAAGCUCUGUUGUUAGGGAAGAAUGGAUAUGUAGUAACUAUAC